CACGUAGGGGGCAAGCGUUGUCCGGAUUUAUUGGGCGUAAAGAGCUCGUAGGCGGUUCGGUAAGUCGGGUGUGAAACCUCCAGGCUCAACCUGGAGACGCCACCUGAUACUGCUGUGACUCGAGUCCGGUAGGGGAGCGUGGAGUUCCUGGUGUAGCGGUGAAAUGCGCAGAUAUCAGGAGGAACACCGGUGGCGAAGGCGGAUCUCUGGGCCUUACCUGACGCUCAGGCGCGAAAGCUAGGGGAGCGAACUGG
rnacentral:rRNA from 1 species